rnacentral:rRNA from 1 species
GACGAACGCUGACGGUGUGCUUUAGACAUGCAAGUCGAACGAGAAAGCCCUUCGGGGUGAGUACAGUGGCGAACGGGUGAGUAACACGUGGGCAAUCUGCCCCUCGCAGGGGGACAACCGGGGGAAACUCCGGCUAAUACCCCGUACGCUUGCGGAGUCGCAUGGCUCUGCAAGGAGAGGUAGCUUCGGCCAUCCGGCGAGGGAUGAGCCCGCGGUGCAUUAGCUAGUUGGUGGGGUAACGGCCCACCAAGGCGACGAUGCAUAGCUGGUCUGAGAG